rnacentral:rRNA from 1 species
AUGAUGGCCGGUCAUAGUUUAGUAAAGAUUUUAAGUGGGUUUGCUUGGACUAUGCUAUUUCUGAAUAAUAUUUUCUAUUUCAUAGGAGAUCUUGGUCCCUUAUUUAUAGUUCUAGCAUUAACCGGUCUGGAAUUAGGUGUAGCUAUAUCACAAGCUCAUGUUUCUACGAUUUCAAUUUGUAUUUACUUGAAUGAUGCUACAAAUCUCCAUGAAAAUGAGUCAUUUCAUAAUUGA